ensembl:lncRNA
GAAACAGUUUGUACAUCAAAUGGUAAAAGUGGCUUACUUUAAUUAGGGGCAUUAUUUCAGAGUGUUUUGGCAAGCUGCCUGCUAUGUAUGUGUGUAGGCAGUUACAAGAUCAGCAAAAGAAAGUCUUUUGAUAGUAUAAAUCCAAUGUUCCCUGCAUAAGGUCACUUUUUGUAAGAUCUAGGCUCUAUCCCAAGCCAGUGGUCAGUUAACAAUAAUAUGGAAACUGGCUUCUAUCAUCACUGCAGCUGAGUCCAUUGAGUUUGCAAUAAUAACCUAGAACAGACUUUGGGUGAUGGAGGCAAAGCCAAAUGCCAAGACUGAAUUAUGAUGGUUUUGCAGACAAGACCUCUCACGUUACCACAAACCUUUUAUGGAUGAUAACUGGAAUGUUUUAAAUUAUGACUCAUACCAUUUCAUCUCCUUGAGUUAUCUUCUCUGAACAUCAAGUGGAUAUUCAUAUGGUAUGUAUGAUUAUUAUGACCAUCCUGUUUUUCCUCGGACAUUACUGAAGCUGAUGAGACUGAGGGAUUAAGAGCUACAGAGACUGUAGAAAUAGGAGUUGAGAGGAUCUAGUGCUGCUGAUAGGAAGAAAAAAGAGUCCUGCUGUUACUUCAGUCUAAGAGGCACUCUCCUGGCUCUGGAAUGCUACCUUAGAGACCACCAAGUUUCCCCAGUGACUUGGCAUAUCUGUGAAAGAAUAAAAGGCUGAAGUAGAAAAUUGAGACGAGGUGUUAUUCUCUCAUGUUCUCAUAAUGUAGCCGACCGUGCCUCACUACCAUUUCUCUGUGGAUAAUGCAUGGGCGGAAGGACAAGUGUACAUCAUGAUGACAUUGAUGGAUCGACUGCAUAUCAACACCCAAGUGAUAACACAGAAACGAAGAAGGAAAAAGCAGAUAUCAGAACAAGCCUUACAAGAGACUCCUUGCCUAGCCUAUAUCUUCUUAGAGACACAUACAGACCAAGAAAGGUGUUGAUUAGUUAUACACAGUCAAGUAGGAAAGCUCACAGAGUGUCAUUGAAUUAAGGUUUUAAGAACCAAGGGAG